ACGAACGCUGGCGGCAGGCCUAACACAUGCAAGUCGAGCGCACCUUCGGGUGAGCGGCGGACGGGUUAGUAACGCGUGGGAAUAUACCUAGUUCUAAGGAAUAGCCUCUGGAAACGGAGAGUAAUACCUUAUACGCCCUUCGGGGGAAAGAUUUAUCGGAAUUAGAUUAGCCCGCGUUAGAUUAGAUAGUUGGUGGGUAACGGCCUACAAGUCGACGAUCUAUAGCUGAUUUGAGAGGAUGAUCAGCCACAUUGGGACUGAGACACGGCCAAACUCCUACGGGAGGCCAGCAGUGGGGAAUCUUGC
rnacentral:rRNA from 1 species